GGAGGGCCAUAGCUCAGUGGAAGAGUGUCUGCCUUGCAAGCAGAAGGUCCUGAGUUCAAUCCCCGGCAUCUCCU